rnacentral:rRNA from 2 species
AGUGGCAGACGGGUGAGUAAUGUAUAGGAAUCUACCUAGUAGUACGGAAUAAUUGUUGGAAACGGCAACUAAUACCGUAUACGCCCUACGGGGGAAAAAUUUAUUGCUAUUAGAUGAGCCUAUAUUAGAUUAGUUAGUUGGUGAGGUAAAGGCUUACCAAGACAAUGAUCUAUAGCUGAUCUGAGAGGAUGAUCAGCCACACUGGAACUGAGAUACGGUCCAGACUCCUACGGGAGGCAGCAGUGGGGAAUNUUGGACAAUGGGCGAAAGCCUGAUCCAGCCAUGCCGCAUGAGUGAAGAAGGCCUUCGGGUUGUAAAGCUCUUUUAGUGAGGAAGAUAAUGACGGUACUCACAGAAGAAGUCCUGGCUAACUCCGUGCCAGCAGCCGCGGUAAUACGGAGAGGGCUAGCGUUAUUCGGAAUCAUUGGGCGUAAAGGGCGCGUAGGCGGGUUAGUAAGUUAAAAGUGAAAUCCCAAGGCUCAACCUUGGAACUGCUUUUAAAACUGCUAGUCUAGAGAUUGAAAGANGAUAGAGGAAUUCCUAGUGUAGAGAUGAAAUUCGUAAAUAU